rnacentral:rRNA from 1 species
AGAGUUUGAUCCUGGCUCAGAACGAACGCUGGCGGCGUGCCUAACACAUGCAAGUCGAGCGCGAAUGGAGCAAUCCUAGUAGAGCGGCGCACGGGUGCGUAACACGUGGGUAAUCUGCCCUGAAGCCCGGGAUAACCUGCCGAAAGGCAAGCUAAUACCGGAUAAGCCUACGGCCCCCUCGGGGGCUGAAGGAAAAGGUGGCCUCUGCAUGCAAGCUAUCACUUCAGGAUGAGCCCGCGGCCCAUCAGCUCGUUGGCGGGGUAACGGCCCACCAAGGCAACGACGGGUAGCUGGUCUGAGAGGACGAUCAGCCACACUGGAACUGAGACACGGUCCAGACUCCUACGGGAGGCAGCAGUGGGGAAUUUUGCGCAAUGGGCGAAAGCCUGACGCAGCAACGCCGCGUGUGUGAUGAAGGUCUUCGGAUUGUAAAGCACUUUCGACCGGGACGAAAACCCGCUGGCCAAUAUCCAGCGGCUUGACGGUACCGGGAGAAGAAGCACCGGCUAACUCUGUGCCAGCAGCCGCGGUAAUACAGAGGGUGCAAGCGUUGUUCGGAAUUACUGGGCGUAAAGCGCGU